rnacentral:lncRNA from 1 species
CCCCGUGGAGUCCUGGCGUGGGGCCAUGGUGCGAGCUCCACUUGUCCUAGGAGGCGGGCCAGCUCAGGAGCUCCCUGGUGGUCUGAGUCCCAACCCAAAUCUCCCUUUUGUUUCCCAGAUGGCUUUUUCCCAAGCUCUUGGAAACUAAUCAAAGUAAUGUUAAAUGAGAAAUGAUCACGCGGUCUGUACGGACCCCACACUUUGACUCAAAGCCUGGCCUUCUGGACUGGCCCCCUACGCUCAGUGCCAGUGUCCCUCGGCUCCUUUUGGAGCAGUGUUGGACUGAGCAGCCUGCGAUGGGACCGCCCAAGCUCAGCUUUCUUGUUGGCUGUGUCUGUCUAGAACCUGUGUGCUUACCUUUCUCCUGUCCUCCUACGUCCCCUCCCCAGCGUGACAGCAGUUACCUCUGGCGAGAGGAGGGAGCAAGACCGCGGAAGGAACAAAGACAGCCUCAACUUUAUCUGCAAUCUUCUAUUUCCGUUAUAAAAUUAAGGCGCCGUGAGAGAGGUGCUACGUGGAGAGCUGUUUGGACCUGGGCCCUACGCUUUAUAAAGAGAUGACACUGGAAGGCGCAAACUCUGUGAACAGAGUCAUUUGAGGAGCAGAAUAAAAACGUUUAACGCCGUGGCAUAGAAUGAAACUAUAUUGUCUUGAAUUCCAGCUAGGUCAAAGGUAAGCACAUAAGCGGCGUGUGGGGAGGGCACCGUCUUCAGCUUGCACUUCAGUCAGCACGUCAGGCCAUCGUCCUGGAGGUUGCACAGGCCCUAUUGUGCUGCAGAGCUGCAAGGGAGGCUGCAGAGAAAUGGGCUGCACGGAGAAGGCCUUCCCAGAACGGGCCAUAAAGGAGGCACUCGGGAUGCGUCAGCGGCGGAUGGCAAUGCAAGAGGCUGAGAAUCAGAUCAAACCGGAGCCAGAGCUCUUUGCUCACUGGCUAAGUCUGUCAUUCGCUCAGUGGGGAGCCUGGAGGGUCCUCGCUUCCUGGUAUAGUCUUUUUAUCUUGUAUGUAAGAAUACCUGAGUUGUGUGCUGGAAAAUCCACGCGGGUCAUUAGAUCUCAGAGUGUAAGUCACUCGCAGCAAAUACUUUUGUUACUUUAAGACAGUCUCACAUUAAGGAAUCUGGCCAGGUAUUGUGGAAGGUUUUGACUUCCCCUAUCAAAACUCAGCUUCUAAGAAUGAAUAAAACCAGGUAAUUAGUUGUCCUUCCUGACUUACAGAAUGUUAUUUGAAUAAAGCUUGUUUCUCCCAGCUGUGGUACAUGCUACAAAAUGGCCUGGUAUCCCGUCUCAUUCCGCCAGUCCACAGAUACAGACAGCACAGAUUGCAUCCGCCGGGCGCUGCUUAGAUGUGAGGGUGCUGGAGUAAACAAAACAGACACAGCCCCUGCCACUUGGAGGCCUUCAGAAAUGGGCAUCUACCUGGCCUGCAC